UAAGCAUCAGGUAACAUCAAAUCGUACCCCAAACCGACACAGGUGGUCAGGUAGAGAAUACCAAGGCGCUUGAGAGAACUCGGGUGAAGGAACUAGGCAAAAUGGUGCCGUAACUUCGGGAGAAGGCACGCUGAUAUGUAGGUGAAGUCCCUCGCGGAUGGAGCUGAAAUCAGUCGAAGAUACCAGCUGGCUGCAACUGUUUAUUAAAAACACAGCACUGUGCAAACACGAAAGUGGACGUAUACGGUGUGACGCCUGCCCGGUGCCGGAAGGUUAAUUGAUGGGGUCAGCGCAAGCGAAGCUCUUGAUCGAAGCCCCGGUAAACGGCGGCCGUAACUAUAACGGUCCUAAGGUAGCGAAAUUCCUUGUCGGGUAAGUUCCGACCUGCACGAAUGGCGUAAUGAUGGCCAGGCUGUCUCCACCCGAGACUCAGUGAAAUUGAACUCGCUGUGAAGAUGCAGUGUACCCGCGGCAAGACGGAAAGACCCCGUGAACCUUUACUAUAGCUUGACACUGAACAUUGAGCCUUGAUGUGUAGGAUAGGUGGGAGGCUUUGAAGUGUGGACGCCAGUCUGCAUGGAGCCGACCUUGAAAUACCACCCUUUAAUGUUUGAUGUUCUAACGUGGACCCGUGAUCCGGGUUGCGGACAGUGUCUGGUGGGUAGUUUGACUGGGGCGGUCUCCUCCUAAAGAGUAACGGAGGAGCACGAAGGUUGGCUAAUCCUGGUCGGACAUCAGGAGGUUAGUGCAAUGGCAUAAGCCAGCUUGACUGCGAGCGUGACGGCGCGAGCAGGUGCGAAAGCAGGUCAUAGUGAUCCGGUGGUUCUGAAUGGAAGGGCCAUCGCUCAACGGAUAAAAGGUACUCCGGGGAUAACAGGCUGAUACCGCCCAAGAGUUCAUAUCGACGGCGGUGUUUGGCACCUCGAUGUCGGCUCAUCACAUCCUGGGGCUGAAGUAGGUCCCAAGGGUAUGGCUGUUCGCCAUUUAAAGUGGUACGCGAGCUGGGUUUAGAACGUCGUGAGACAGUUCGGUCCCUAUCUGCCGUGGGCGCUGGAGAACUGAGGGGGGCUGCUCCUAGUACGAGAGGACCGGAGUGGACGCAUCACUGGUGUUCGGGUUGUCAUGCCAAUGGCACUGCCCGGUAGCUAAAUGCGGAAGAGAUAAGUGCUGAAAGCAUCUAAGCACGAAACUUGCCCCGAGAUGAGUUCUCCCUGACCCUUUAAGGGUCCUGAAGGAACGUUGAAGACGACGACGUUGAUAGGCCGGGUGUGUAAGCGCAGCGAUGCGUUGAGCUAACCGGUACUAAUGAACCGUGAGGCUUAACCUUACAACGCCGAAGGUGUUU
rnacentral:rRNA from 1 species